CCUACGGGUGGCAGCAGUGGGGAAUAUUGCACAAUGGGGGAAACCCUGAUGCAGCGACGCCGCGUGAGUGAAGAAGUAAUUCGUUACGUAAAGCUCUAUCAGCAGGGAAGAAACACUGACCUUACGGUCAGCAGACGGUACCUGAGUAAGAAGCCACGGCUAACUACGUGCCAGCAGCCGCGGUAAUACGUAGGGGGCAAGCGUUAUCCGGAUUGACUGGGUGUAAAGGGAGCGUAGACGGGGCGCCAAGUCUGGAGUGAAAUGCCGCAGCUUAACUGCGGAACUGCUUUGGAAACUGGCGAACUAGAGUGCGGGAGGGGUAAGCGGAAUUCCUAGUGUAGCGGUGAAAUGCGUAGAUAGUAGGAGGAACACCGGUAGCGAAGGCGGCUUACUGGACCGUAACUGACGUUGAGGCUCGAAAGCGUGGGGAGCAAACAGGAUUAGAUACCCUGGUAGUC
rnacentral:rRNA from 1 species